GGCUCCGUUCCUUCUGGGCCAAAGCUGAAGAAGCGGCUGCUGCACCAGAGAAGUGCAUCUGGAUGAAGGUGGAAGCACACGCGGGCCCGCAGAACCGCCUAAGAUAUCUUCAGGUGUGGGCUUGGAACUGGUAGGCUUUCAUUUCUGCUUCAUUCCAUGGCCAAAGCAAGCCACAUGGGCAAGUCUGAAGCCGGGGCAAGAAAGUAUCCUCCACCCACAACGAAACCAUGGCAAGCGGGUAGAAUGGAGGUUGCACUAUUCGGGCCGGCCACUCUCCUACUGGCUGACAGGAUGCUGCCCGAGAUGAAACAGGGUGUGUGUGCACCACGGAGUCAGUCCAAGACUCCUGUUCUCACUCAGGGAUUCUUCAUUUCUUCUUCCUAUUGCCUCCACUUCAUGUUAUUUUCUUCCCUUCCCAUUUACAAGUAAAACUGACCAGAGCCCCAGGAAUAAAUGGUUUUCUUGGCUUCCUCCUUGCUCCCAUCUGGACCCAGUCCCCUGGUUCCUGUUGGUCAUUUGCAAACCAAGAGGACCACAAUAAACAAAUCUCUAUUUUUUUUUUAA
rnacentral:lncRNA from 1 species